CAGUCGCCGCGGUAAUACGUAGGUGGCAAGUGUUGUCCGGAAUUAUUGGGCGUAAAGCGCGCGCAGGUGGUUUAAUAAGUCUGAUGUGAAAGCCCACGGCUCAACCGUGGAGGGUCAUUGGAAACUGUUAAACUUGAGUGCAGGAGAGAAAAGUGGAAUUCCUAGUGUAGCGGUGAAAUGCGUAGAGAUUAGGAGGAACACCAGUGGCGAAGGCGGCUUUUUGGCCUGUAACUGACACUGAGGCGCGAAAGCGUGGGGAGCAAACAGGAUUAGAUACCCCGGUAGUCCCUGUCUCUUAUAA
rnacentral:rRNA from 1 species